rnacentral:sRNA from 1 species
GGUGUUUUGAAACAUAAAAGGUUGCACCCUCGUGUGUGCCUUGUGUUAAAAGGAGCCCACGCAGCCGACAGCAGCAGGAGCAAAUGGCCUGCUCUGAUGGGGACAGGCAGGAAGUCCUUCGGGGCAUUUCUGUUUCAUCACAGCUUUUCCUGGGGCUGGUGAGUCUGUUGGGCCUUUGGUUGACAGGGAAGCGCAUGAGCCCAUGUUGGUGGAUACAAAGCAUUUGGGGCCUGGCAGAAUCCAGAGAGGGGAAGAAGGUGGCCCUAGGAACUGGCCUAUUUUGUGAUCCCCAAAGACCAGUGUGGCUGACCCAUUAGUGCUACAAAUCCAUAGCCAGGCCUCAGGACAGCUUUUGGUUUUGUUUUUAUUAAGCCACUGACCAGUGGUUAGGAGCAAGUGGAUCAUAACCUUAACAUUUUUAUUGAAAAUUGGAGCCUUGACCUGGGGAUGUGAAACCCACAAGCUGCACAUUUCUCUGUAGACUGCAUCUGGACACUUGUCACAUUGCCGACUGGGUCUGACAGUCAUCGCCAGGACUGCCUGGGCCUGUGUUCAUUCCCAGUCAAUGAGUCCUGGGACACAGACGUCCCGGACUCGUGCCCGGUGCCAGGCCUCAUGCCUGCCCAAGGAUGAAGACAUACCUGCCAUCACCAUGCAAGUGCCAGGAGCUCUUCUCAGCGCUUAUGUGUGGGAACACGAGUAAUCCCACACCCUAGGAGGUGGCACUACUGUUACCCCAGUGUGCAGAUGAAGAUCAGAGGCCAGAAAAGGGGGGUGACUUCAGUCACACAGCAAGCAUGUGGCAGAGCUGGAGUCCAGGUCGUCAUUCUGAGCCUGCCCCUGGCUGGGCCAUUGUGCUUUGUCACCUCUCUACAGAAGGUGGGCCUCAUCCCCUACAUCAGGCCCCAAGCCUGGCCAGCGCUCUUCCCACCCUGCCCCAGGCCACCUGCUGUGCCUGUGAGGGCUGUGUGUGAGCACUCUCUGGAGCGCCGCUGAUUCUCGUCUCUCCCCUGUGCCCUGCCAGGAAGCUGAUCAGUAUCUCCUUUGGGGACCUGAACCCUUUCCCCCUACGCCAGAUCCGGAACCGACGCGCCUACCACUUGGAGAAAGUCCGGCUGGAGCUGACCGAGCUGGAGGCCAUCCGUGAGGACUUCCUGCGUGAGCGGGAUACCAGCCCUGACAAGGGUGAGCUGGUCAGUGACGAGGAGGAGGAUACCUGAGUGGGCUCCGGGAUGCUGCUCUUCCUUCCUUCACAACCAAAGUGUGCCCAAAGGGUGAAAGUGCACUUAAAAGCCAGAAUGUAACGUGUGUGGCCUCUGGGGAUCUGCUGGGCAGAUGUCCCAAGCCAGGCUGCCCUUCCUCAUUUCCCACUGUGCGGGGGGCAGGGGUGGGAGGUCUAAUCUGUUUACAGCCAUUUCCGUGCCAUGCUUUUGGUUACACGUAUCUCAGUCACGCUUUCUGCCUGGUUGGUGGAUCCUCAGGCUUACCAGUGGCUAUUUGCAAGAGCCUGUUUCCAGCCUCCGUCAGCCUGUCGGUGCUCUGACCCUCUGAAACCUUGCUUUGCUGGGCAUCUCCCCAUGUUCUCUCUCCUGUACAUAGUGGGCAGUGGUGUGUGGUUUUGAAUGGCAGUGCUAUAAAGGAUGCCAGCUGUGCUUCAGGCACCUGUAGGCCAGAGGGUUGCUGCCUCAGGCAUAAGGUUGGUAUGAAAAGGGGCUGCCUUAGAAAAGCAGGCACAUCCCUUGUUCAGAAAUGGCCACUGUAGAAAGCCCGUGAACCUCCCACCAGUGGCUUUAAGCUGCCAGCCAUGCCCCAUUUCUAGAAUAGCCUUUGCUCUUCCACACGCAACCCUUCCAUCAUGUGUCUUCCAGCCUGCAUGGGGAGGGCCUGGCUGCCCAGACACCCACCCUCACUUCUCAUGGCCAGCCUGUGUUUGCAGAUCACUGGGCUGCUCUGUCCCCAGUUUGCCCCGUGCCAGGCAUGGCUCUGAGAGAUUCUGUGGCAUGCCCUUCUUGACUUGUGGAAAUCAUUCACCAAGUACGAUGGGAUGGGAUUCCAAGUAAACAGGGGACCGUCAUUUUGCAAAGCAGGCCCACGCCUGGGCUGGCCUUGGUUGAGGGGAUGGAGGAAUGUUUUCGGGGGUGCUUUGCAGGGCAGUGGUGCAGCCGCAGCAUGAACGCUCUUGGACAGCUGAAAACCAUGGCCUCCUCGGGGAUGGCCAGUGCUCCUGGUGUCUCCACCUGCCUGGGUUGUGCAGGAGGCCGGCUGCCAGUGCCUGGGGCUGGGAAACUUUUUUGCUUGGGGCAGGCUUGGGCGAGCUCUCCCAGAUAUGUGCCCACCCCACCACUGCCUGGAAGCAUCCUUGUUCUCUGCCAGGAUGCAGGGGCACUGUUGCCUCUGACACAACAGUUUCUGGGAACUCAGAGGACUGCCUUUCUGAAGGCUGGGGAGAGGCUUUGAGCAAGGAGCUUGUUUUUGCUUAAUCCCUCUAGACCAUCCCUGAUGCGUAGAUGUGAGAGGAUGUUUUCUGGCACAGUGUUAUGAAAAUACAAGAGAAAUGGUCUCAGUGGAAUGUUUCAUAUUACCCGAAAAAAACUGGAAAUCAUCCUUUGUUGUGAACACACUGAGACUAAGAAUUGAAGCAAUGCAGUUUUAAGAAGUAUUUUUCCUGUCAACUUUUUGGCAAUGCCACGGCAAAGUUGGUGUUUCAGCACAUGCUAGAGUGAGCUCCGGCUUUGUGGCUUUAGUGGAGUUGGUUAAUGUUUCACUGGGUAGACAGAGCUGGCCUGUAUAUUUAGCCAGAAGCCUUUGCCUCUUUUCAGGCAUCAAAAAUGGGUUUUGUCAUUGUCUUUGUCUUUGAGAGCAGCAGUUUGAGGUCUGACUCCUUUAGUUGUCCUGUGAGCUGGGCGUUGCAGUCUGCUCGAAUCAAGUGUUGGAACCCCCGCCCCCCCGCACCCCUCAGCCCAUCGUGAAACGACAGCUGUCAGCCUGGGGGGCAGCUGCUGAGGAGGUGCAGCAGGAAUGGGGCUGGGCCCUCAGGUUUUACUUUCCAAGCCAAUGGCCCCUGGAACAUGCCAGCACACACUGCCAUGUCCUGGGGCUAAGAGCUGCCUUUAGGGACAGGCUCGUGUUGUCCAGUUUGCCCUGAGAGAUGCACCUGACCAGGGGCCCGUCGUGGCUGCAACCCACGGUGGUAUGUUAGUGUUUCCAGGCAGUUGUCAGCAGCUGCCGGGCAGUGUGUGUGUGUGACAGCAGGAGAGUUCCUGGAGGAAAGGGCCUGGGGACACUUUCUCAGAGGUUCUCCUGCCUGGAAUCAAGUGAUGCGUGUCCAGAAGGCAAGAGAGGGCAGCUCCGCCUGGUUAAAGUUUGGGAACGGGACGGAGCCAACUCCUCCUUCCAGGACUGUGGGCCCCACUCUUUUGCGCUAACACUUCCCCUCCCUCGGGUCACUGAGGAAAGAGCUGCUCUGUCCCCUCCAGUGCCCUGAAGGUCCCUGGCCUCCACUGGCUGCCAUGGCAGGGGGCCCUUCUGACAGGGGCUGCCCCAUGCUGCUGUUCCUCCUCUGAACCUUCACCCCAACACCCAGCCCGUGGCCCCUGCAAGGGGGACCCUGCCAGCUGGGAAACCCAAAGGCCUGUCCAAAUGCGUGCACCAGGACCGAGGGGAGCUCCCUCCCCACACCUGCUAGGAAUUGCCAACUUUUAAAUGGAUGGGGUUGUUUAUGGGUUGAACCUCUGUUAAUACUUUUGUACACUCUCACUACAGUUUAUAUUUUUAUAGGCUAUUUUCUCAAGGUGUUUCUAGAUUCCACAUAUCUAUUUUAUAUAACAAGUUCUUAUGUUAUGUGUGUGACUCCCUUGUGUGUAUCUGUGCCAGCCUCAGCCUUCGAGUUGCUCUUCCCUCUGGCCCUCUCACUGACUCACCGAUGUGAUGUGCGGGCCCACUUCUUACCCCAGGUAGCCUCGGGCGCUGCCUGUAGUCAUGCUGACAGCUGGAGACGGUUCUGGUUUCAACUACGGUAUAUUGAUAUCGGAAGUAUUCUAGACAGAUCCUCGGUUGGGUUUUCUAGCUACAUGUUUGUAUUGCACAGAUCCUCACCUGCCAUCCUAUAGUGUUGUCUUCCUGUGUGUUCCGGGGCUUCCCCCCCCGGGGAAGUCCUUGCAGGUGGGAGGCCAUACAGAGACCCAGUGUGUGCCACUGAGCAUCCCACCUCUGCUGGGCAACUGGAGGACUGCAGGGGGCGCCAGGUGACUCUCUCCUUUUAUAUCACAGCAGCUCCUGUGCUGACCUUCAAGUUACGUUUUGGAACUGUAAUACUAAAGGAAGAAAUAAACUACUAAUUUGUAUAA